rnacentral:rRNA from 1 species
UGCGUAGGCGGUCGGAUAAGUUUGAUGUGAAAUCUCCGGGCUUAACCCGGAAACUGCAUUGAAUACUAUUCGGCUUGAGGUCUGGAGGGGGGACGUGGAAUUCUCGGUGUAGCAGUGAAAUGCGUAGAUAUCGAGAGGAACACCAGUGGCGAAGGCGAGUCCCUGGACAGGUCCUGACGCUGAGGCACGAAAGCUAGGGGAGCAAACA